CCUACGGGGGGCAGCAGUGGGGAAUAUUGGACAAUGGGGGCAACCCUGAUCCAGCCAUGCCGCAUGUGUGAAGAAGGCCCUCGGGUUGUAAAGCACUUUCAGUGAGGAAGAACGCCUGGUGGUUAAUACCCAUCAGGAAAGACAUCACUCACAGAAGAAGCACCGGCUAACUCCGUGCCAGCAGCCGCGGUAAUACGGAGGGUGCGAGCGUUAAUCGGAAUUACUGGGCGUAAAGCGCGCGUAGGUGGCUUGAUAAGCCGGUUGUGAAAGCCCCGGGCUCAACCUGGGAACGGCAUCCGGAACUGUCAAGCUAGAGUGCAGGAGAGGAAGGUAGAAUUCCCGGUGUAGCGGUGAAAUGCGUAGAGAUCGGGAGGAAUACCAGUGGCGAAGGCGGCCUUCUGGACUGACACUGACACUGAGGUGCGAAAGCGUGGGUAGCAAACAGGAUUAGAUACCCUUGUAGUC
rnacentral:rRNA from 1 species